rnacentral:rRNA from 1 species
UAGGGAAUCUUCGGCAAUGGACGAAAGUCUGACCGAGCAACGCCGCGUGAGUGAAGAAGGUUUUCGGAUCGUAAAACUCUGUUGUUAGAGAAGAACAAGGACGUUAGUAACUGAACGUCCCCUGACGGUAUCUAACCAGAAAGCCACGGCUAACUACGUGCCAGCAGCCGCGGUAAUACGUAGGUGGCAAGCGUUGUCCGGAUUUAUUGGGCGUAAAGCGAGCGCAGGCGGUUUCUUAAGUCUGAUGUGAAAUCCCCCGGCUCAACCGGGGAGGGUCAUUGGAAACUGGGAGACUUGAGUGCAGAAGAGGAGAGUGGAAUUCCAUGUGUAGCGGUGAAAUGCGUAGAUAUAUGGAGGAACACCAGUGGCGAAGGCGGCCCCCUGGACAAAGACUGACGCUCAGGUGCGAAAGCGUGGGGAGCAAACAGG